UACGUAGGGUGCAAGCGUUGUCCGGAAUUAUUGGGCGUAAAGAGCUCGUAGGCGGUCUGUUGCGUCGGCUGUGAAAACCCGGGGCUCAACCCCGGGCCUGCAGCCGAUACGGGCAGACUAGAGUUCGGCAGGGGAGACUGGAAUUCCUGGUGUAGCGGUGAAAUGCGCAGAUAUCGGGAGGAACACCUGUGGCGAAAGCGGCUCACUGGACCAUAACUGACGCUGAGGCACGAAAGCUAGGGAGCAAACAGG
rnacentral:rRNA from 1 species